rnacentral:rRNA from 1 species
GACGAACCGUGCGACCGUUAUUCGGAAUCAUUGGGCUUAAAGGGCGCGUAGGCGGCGGUGUAAGUUGGAAGUGAAAUCCCAUCGGCUCAACCGUGGAAUUGCUCCCAGUACUGCAUCGCUCGAGGGGGAUAGGGGUCUGCGGAACUACCGGUGGAGCGGUGAAAUGUGUUGAUAUCGGUGGGAACGCCAGUGGCGAAAGCGGCAGACUGGACCCUUCCUGACGCUGAGGCGCGAAAGCUAGGGGAGCAAACGGG